UUUGGAAGCAUCAAGAAGAUUCUCUCUUGCCUCCCAGAUUUGAUGGGGCAGCAGAGUUGAUGAUAACCUCUCAAAAUCCCAUGUGUCUGGGUUGAGGUGAAAUGGCCAAGCCCUGUCUUCCAGAUGCUUUGCCUGGAAUGGAGCCCUGCUGUCCUUGUGCCCCCACCUGUUUGUUGCCUCAUGCCAAGCUUGUCCUGACACAGUGGAGCUUUCAAGGAAAUAAAAAGACACCCUGAGGUUUACACUGCACACAUUUGGGAAAAUGAUGGACCGAAACAGAACUGCUUUGCAGGCUUUUUCUUGGAGACCUAAGACCCCCACGAAUGAAUGACUUCCAGGCCCUCAACAAACUGCUAAUUACUGGCUGAACACAGAAGACUCCCAGACCCCAAAGGAUGGUGGGGCUGCAAGAAGAAGCAGUCUGAGUCCCUGCUCAUCAUAUGGACAAAAGCUGCCUUCUCAUCAGAAACACCUAAAUUGGACAAUUAUAUGAUU